rnacentral:rRNA from 1 species
GGUUGCGAUCAUACCAGCACUAAUGCACUAGAUCCCAUCAGAACUCCGCAGCUAAGCAUGCUUGGGCGAGAGUAGUACUAGGAUGGGUGACCCCCUGGGAAGUCCUCGUGUUGCAACCC